GUCCACGCCGUAAACUAUGAUUACUCGUUAUUGGCGAUAUAUUGUCAGUGACUAAGCGAAAGUGAUAAGUAAUCCACCUGGGGAGUACGAUUGCAAGGUUGAAACUCAAAGGAAUUGACGGGGGCCCCGCACAAGCGGUGGAGCAUGUGGUUUAAUUCGAUGAUACGCGAGGAACCUUACCAGGGCUUGAAAGUUAGUGACCGGAGUGGAAACACUCUUUUCAGCAAUGACACGAAACUAGGUGCUGCAUGGCUGUCGU
rnacentral:rRNA from 1 species